UAGAGAGAUAAAGAGAGGGGGAAAAGUGAGGCGAUGGGAGCGGAAGACCCAACAACAAAUAUAUGCGAUUUCCAAUCUGAAACUGAAAGAGACGACUGAUUCGAGAGAGAGGGAAGAACAUGGCGAAUCAAGGCGGUUCUUGGGUUUUGAUUUGAGGAAGAACAUGGGGACGGGAAGAGAACGAACAAUGCGAAUCUCGGUUCUGGGGUUCAUCUGAGAAGAACACAAAUCUGGAGACAGAUAGCGAGAGCGAAGAGAGCAAAGGAAGAAGGGAAAGAAGAAGACAUUCGGGAGAAGACUGAAAAGAGAAGAUUGGAACAAAGUAGUGGAGAUACUAUGAUUUUGGUCCAAAAGGAGUAGUUGCCCUUAUUCGUCUUUCUGGAACAGCAGGGACGGUGGAUGUCUGUUACAAGAAGAUCAUGUCAUUGUCCAUGAAGGAUUUCUAUGAGGAUAUACUUGAGGAGCUGAGCAGGAACAAACCUAUCAUUCUCAGACUAUAAUUAAAGAGUUGGUGCAUGAAAAGCAAUGGGAUAGGCAAGAAAUAGAUGACUCGAUGAAUGUUUGUGGAAUGUUUGUAGUAGUAAACACUAAAUGUAAUGUGAAUGUAAUGUGCAUUUUCUGGAAUCACAGUGUAUAGAACAUGUGAAUGUAAUGUGCAUUUUCUGGAAUCACAGAGCUUUGCUCUUGCUA